CCGACGGUGAGGGGUGAAAGCUGGGGGAGCAAACCGGAUUAGAUACCCGGGUAGUCCCAGCCGUACACGAUGUGCGUUAGGUGUAUCGGUGACCACGAGUCACCGAGGUGCCGAAGGGAAACCGUGAAACGUACCGCCUGGGAAGUACGGUCGCAAGGCUGAAACUUAAAGGAAUUGGCGGGGGAGCACCACAACAGGUGGAGCCUGCGGUUUAAUUGGACUCAACGCCGGAAAUCUCACCGGAUAAGACAGCUGAAUGAUUGUCGGGCUGAAGACUCUACAUGACCAGCUGAGAGGAGGUGCAUGGCCGUCGUCAGUUCGUACUGUGAAGCAUCCUGUUAAGUCAGGCAACGAGCGAGACCCACGCCAACAGUUGCCAGCAUGGCCUCCGGGCUGAUGGGGACACUGUUGGGACCGCCUCUGCUAAAGAGGAGGAAGGAAUGGGCAACGGUAGGUCAGCAUGCCCCGAAUUAUCCGGGCUACACGCGGGCUACAAUGGGCAGGACAAUGGGUAUCGACACCGAAAGGUGAAGGCAAUCUCUUAAACCUGUCCGUAGUUCGGAUUGUGGGCUGUAACUCGCCCACAUGAAGCUGGAAUCUGUAGUAAUCGCGUUUCAACAUAACGCGGUGAAUGUGUCCCUGCUCCUUGCACACAC
rnacentral:rRNA from 1 species